ACAAGAUUUCUUGAACGGGAAAUGUUCUAUAGGUUGUACAUCUAUUUAUAUUGAUACAAUGGAGAAACACACAACAAUCUAGAAGGUGACACAUUGCCACAUUGCCAGAGUGUGAGUACUGGAUGUGGCCCCACAUGCACCUACCAUCCAUAGAGGAUCGCUCUUAUCAAGCCAAUGGCUGAUAAGACGACCACGUGGCAGUCUAUCAGAUU
rnacentral:snoRNA from 1 species